rnacentral:rRNA from 1 species
AAUAUUGCGCAAUGGGGGAAACCCUGACGCAGCGACGCCGCGUGAAGGAAGAAGGUCUUCGGAUUGUAAACUUCUUUGGUCGGGGACGAAGAAAUGACGGUACCCGAUAAAAAAGCCACGGCUAACUACGUGCCAGCAGCCGCGGUAAUACGUAGGUGGCAAGCGUUGUCCGGAAUUACUGGGUGUAAAGGGCGUGUAGGCGGGGAUGCAAGUCAGAUGUGAAACCCCACAGCUUAACUGUGGGCUUGCAUCUGAAACUGUAUUUCUUGAGUGUUGGAGAGGGAAGUGGAAUUCCUAGUGUAGCGGUGAAAUGCGUAGAGAUUAGGAGGAACACCAGUGGCGAAGGCGACUUCCUGGCCAAUAACUGACGCUGAGGCGCCAAAGCGUGGGGAGCAAACAGG